AUGAUUAAUUUUGCUUGAUUGGAUCCAAUGUUCACAAAAAGAUCCGGGCCAGGAAGAUCAGGUCCCGGGUCGUGGAUCCACAUCAACCAACCCCCUUUCCAUUUUUUCUUUUUAACUUAGUAUCUUUUUAUCUCUUCUCAGGUUGGCAAGUCGUCAGCGACAAUGUUGCAACGUUUUGCAUCCUGAAAAAUUUAAUCUAAA
rnacentral:misc_RNA from 1 species